rnacentral:rRNA from 1 species
UACAGAGGAUGCAAGCGUUAUCCGGAAUGAUUGGGCGUAAAGCGUCUGUAGGUGGCUUUUUAAGUCCGCCGUCAAAUCCCAGGGCUCAACUCUGGACAGGCGGUGGAAACUACCAAGCUGGAGUACGGUAGGGGCAGAGGGAAUUUCCGGUGGAGCGGUGAAAUGCGUAGAGAUCGGGAGGAACACCCGUGGCGAAGGCGGCCUGCUGGGCCGAUCCUGACGCUGAGGCGCGAAGGCGUGGGGAGCGAACGGG